UAAGAAUGAAAUUAUGGCUAAUCAAACUAAACAAAAAUAUUGAAUAAAAUAUUCUAUUUUCUUAUAAAACAAUAUUUAUAGAAUUCUGCAUAAAUAAUUUUUGUAGUGUAAAAACAAAAUAAAUUCAUACAUACAGUGGCACACGCAGCCAAGUAUACAAAAUAUUCUACAAUGACAUGUGGGCUCCCAAAAUAAACAAAUAUGUAUAAGAAGGUAGACCUUCGAUUUCUAAGGAUGUAAAUCCUAAAGUAGAUCCUCGAAGAAAUCAGCUAUCAACAGAUUAUCUUGAACCUGAAAUGGGUGAGAAGAAGGGGUUAGUUUUUAUAAACCCAGUGAGUAAGCAAAAUUCAUCUAUAACAUCUAAAGUCGAGUAAAUGGAGACAGUUUAAUCAUCCAAUCAUAAUAUAAUUCAUAACAUUCAAAAACUCAUUUCAAUUCAUAUAAAACAAUUACAUUUCAUCAAAAUAAUCAACAAGGCUUAUGAUUCUCUUAAAAACUUGGCUUGUGCCAAAACUUAUACUUGGGGACACCUUGGCCUGGGCAUCCAACCGAGUCCGCCAAGGAUGUUAAAACGACAUAUACCCAUAAAACAUGUUUUUACUUUUAAAAUAUAGCCAUUCCUUGGCGUUGGUUGAGUUUCAUCCUCACGUGGUGGUUCGACGUGAAGUGAACUCUAAACUUACCUUAGGAGAUACCUUCUGCACCUCUCAUACUAAGGUAAAAUAUAACAAAGUUUACCAUGCCCCUCUAAUAGGCUGGUCCACAGAAACCCGCCCACUGCAGUAAGCUAAUCAAAUAACCCACCAAAUCAAUAAACAUUUUGACAGCAUGACAUGGCUAAUUUAAUACUAUCCAGCCUGUCAAUGUAAGACAAAGCAAUUUAUAUAAUUCACAAAACCACAAUUCCAGCUAUUCAUGCAACAACAAUUUCAUAAGCCAUCAAUUCAAAUCAUGUAUAUAUAUAUAUAUAUAUAUAUAUAUAUAUAUAAUACAAAUGUAUAGCCUCCACUUACUCUAUUUCGAAAAUCAACAUUUAGUUUCAGAAUAAUUUAUAAAUAUCAUUCAUUUAACCAACAUUUAAAAUGUAAAACAUAAUAAUUUGCAAAUUAAGUGCCUUAUUCUUUAAAAUCAUAAAACAAGUAUAAACCACUUUAGAUAAUUAAGAUGAACAUAUGAUUACUCACAAUAGCCGGAGUUUGGAGUACUCCUAUUCUUGGUCCUCGGGUACAAUAUCUUUACCCUUAUCAGAGGGCUCACCACCUAUACAUAAUACACGACACGUAAUUCAAUAUAUAUGUGCUAAACUGUUAUAAAACUAUUUCAGGCUCUAUAUGAAUGCAUGAAAUUGAAUGAGAAUUGUCUGAAUAAUCACUUCAAAAUGGUGUUCUACGUGGGUUCAAUUAUGAUCGGUCUGAAUUUGUAUUCGACCUAACUCGAACUAUACACUGUUAAAUCAACCAAAACAUUCGAUUCAACUCUAAAUAUAUUCAUUACACUUCCAAUACUCCAAUUACACCCAAAGUACCUCAAUGAACAUGAUUUUCUCAUUGUUGUUCAAAUCGUUUACUAAAGGAGCCAUACAUUUCCAUAACUGUUUUCAAUAUCCGACACCACAAUUUAUCAAAUAUGAGCUAAAUAACAUGAGAUAUAACAAGAUUCAUCAUCAAUAUGUCCUUGAGUAAAUUCGACCAAGGAGAGUUUGAUGAAGAGCAUGUGGUUUUCAUGCUUGUUUUUCACGUCGAGUAUCACAAAACAACUAAAAACGCGUAUGUGGCAUGAAAUCUAACAAAACCCGUGAUCAAAACCUCUCCCCCUAGGUUCGGCCAACAAUCUUUCCUUCAUGAAAUCUUGAGUUUCAACUAUGAAAAAUGAAAAAGAGAGCAUGGGAAAAGGUAAAUCUUAAGCUAAAAUUGAAAAAUCUUACCUUUGAUUUUUUUGUUUCUUGAAAUUCAACAAAUUUCUCUUGGAUUUUCUUCUCUAGGGUUUAUUCUUAUUCUUUUCUCUUUGUUCCUUGCUUUGGCCGGCCAU
rnacentral:lncRNA from 1 species